rnacentral:rRNA from 1 species
GAUGAACGCUGGCUACAGGCUUAACACAUGCAAGUCGAGGGGAAACGACGGGGAAGCUUGCUUCCCCGGGCGUCGACCGGCGCACGGGUGAGUAACGCGUAUCCAACCUGCCUCUGACUGAGGGAUAACCCGUCGAAAGUCGGCCUAAUACCUCAUGGUAUCGUCUGCGGGCAUCCAACGACGAUUAAAGAUUUCAUCGGUCAGGGAUGGGGAUGCGUCUGAUUAGCUUGUUGGCGGGGUAACGGCCCACCAAGGCUACGAUCAGUAGGGGUUCUGAGAGGAAGGUCCCCCACAUUGAAACUGAGACACGAUCCAAACACCUACGGGAGGCAGCAGUGAGGAAUAUUGGUCAAUGGGCGAGAGCCUGAACCAGCCAAGUAGCGUGCAGGAAGACGGCCCUAUGGGUUGUAAACUGCUUUUAUGCGGGGAUAAAGUGAGGGACGUGUCCCUCAUUGCAGGUACCGCAUGAAUAAGGACCGGCUAAUUCCGUG